GCCCUUAGAGUUUGAUCAUGGCUCAGAUUGAACGCUGGCGGCAUGCCUAACACAUGCAAGUCGAACGGUAACAGGCCUUCGGGUGCUGACGAGUGGCGGACGGGUGAGUAACGCGUAGGAAUCUGCCUGGUAGUGGAGGACAACCCGGGGAAACUCGGGCUAAUACUGCAUACGCCCUACGGGGGAAAGCGGGGGAUCUUCGGACCUCGCGCUAUCAGAUGAGCCUGCGUUGGAUUAGCUUGUUGGUGGGGUAAAGGCCUACCAAGGCUGCGAUCCAUAGCUGGUCUGAGAGGAUGAUCAGCCACACUGGGACUGAGACACGGCCCAGACUCCUACGGGAGGCAGCAGUGGGGAAUAUUGGACAGUGGGGGCAACCCUGAUCCAGCAAUGCCGCGUGUGUGAAGAAGGCCUGCGGGUUGUAAAGCACUUUCAGUGGGGAAGAAAAGC
rnacentral:rRNA from 1 species